rnacentral:rRNA from 1 species
AGCACCGGCUAACUCCGUGCCAGCAGCCGCGGUAAUACGGAGGGUGCGAGCGUUAAUCGGAAUUACUGGGCGUAAAGCGCAUGCAGGUGGUUUGUUAAGUCAGAUGUGAAAGCCCGGGGCUCAACCUCGGAAUUGCAUUUGAAACUGGCAGACUAGAGUACUGUAGAGGGGGGUAGAAUUUCAGGUGUAGCGGUGAAAUGCGUAGAGAUCUGAAGGAAUACCGGUGGCGAAGGCGGCCCCCUGGACAGAUACUGACACUCAGAUGCGAAAGCGUGGGGAGCAAACAGGAUUAGAUACCCUGGUAGUCCACGCCGUAAACGAUGUCUACUUGGAGGUUGUGGCCUUGAGCCGUGGCUUUCGGAGCUAACGCGUUAAGUAGACCGCCUGGGGAGUACGGUCGCAAGAUUAAAACUCAAAUGAAUUGACGGGGGCCCGCACAAGCGGUGGAGCAUGUGGUUUAAUUCGAUGCAACGCGAAGAACCUUACCUACUCUUGACAUCCAGAGAACUUUCCAGAGAUGGAUUGGUGCCUUCGGGAACUCUGAGACAGGUGCUGCAUGGCUGUCGUCAGCUCGUGUUGUGAAAUGUUGGGUUAAGUCCCGCAACGAGCGCAACCCUUAUCCUUGUUUGCCAGCGAGUAAUGUCGGGAACUCCAGGGAGACUGCCGGUGAUAAACCGGAGGAAGGUGGGGACGACGUCAAGUCAUCAUGGCCCUUACGAGUAGGGCUACACACGUGCUACAAUGGCGCAUACAGAGGGCGGCCAACUUGCGAAAGUGAGCGAAUCCCAAAAAGUGCGUCGUAGUCCGGAUUGGAGUCUGCAACUCGACUCCAUGAAGUCGGAAUCGCUAGUAAUCGUGGAUCAGAAUGCCACGGUGAAUACGUUCCCGGGCCUUGUACACACCGCCCGUCACACCAUGGGAGUGGGCUGCAAAAGAAGUAGGUAGUUUAACCUUCGGGGGGACGCUUACCACUUUGUGGUUCAUGACUGGGGUGAAGUCGUAACAAGGUAGCGCUAGGGGAACC